rnacentral:tRNA from 1 species
GCUCGGAUGGUGGAAUGGUAGACACAGGGGACUUAAAAUCCCUUGGCCUUACGGCCGUGCAGGUUCGAGUCCUGUUCCGAGCA